UCAGGAACUACCUGGAGGAACGUGCGUGGAGUUGCUGCGCAGACACCUGGUGAAUGGAAAGAAGCUGCAGUGCGCAGCAGCUAAGAGGGACUGCAGGCCUCCUACCUCCCCCCUGGCUCACUUGACUCCUGUCACAGAGCUGGUGGAGACCAGGUCUGGGGGGGGGAAGGAACCUUCCAGGAGUGGGCAGCUGUGGAGGUGCCUUCUGGAGAGGAGCAGAGAUACACGUGCCGUGUGCAGCAUGAGGGGCUGCUGGAGCCCGAGUCCUGAGAUGGGGACGUGGGCACAGAGGCUCUGCUCAGGAUCCCUUCUGGAGAACUUCAAAGAGUCAGGUUGGAGAACUGGGUUCAGAGUCUCCCCUUCCUUUCCCUAUGCACCUCCUCAGUGUUCUGUCCCCACCAUUGGCAUCAUUGCUGGCCUGGUUGUCCUUGGAGCUGUGCUCACGGGAGCUGCAAUGGCUGCAGCUGUGAUGUGGAGGAAGAAGUUCAGGAAAGUAAAUCACAAAUUGUUCACCUUCAUAAUUUUGGUGAUGGGACCUGACUCCCUGCGAUUGUCAGACUCCUUUCUUCAUAUCUCCUGGUCCUGCUCUUGGUCUUCAGUCACAGUUCUGGAAACUCCCCUGUGGUCCAGGAUUCAGGGCUUCCUUUAGGACUUCAUGGCCUGACUCAUCUCUGGUCUCACAUGGAGUUUCUUCCCAAAGGUGAAAAGGAGGAAGCUACACUCAGUCUGCAGGCAGCAACAGUGCCCAGAACUCUGAUGUCACAGCUGCUAAAGUGUGAGCCUUCUCACCCCCACUUUGUGACUUCAAGAUCCCUCCGGUCUCUCUUGUUGCAGAGGGCAUCCUCAUGUAUCUGGGGUCACAUAAGCAUAAUGUGGGGAGGUAAGGAGAUUGGCCUGGCCCUGCCCACCAGGCCCCUCCCGACACUCACCUGUGUCUCUCCCUGAUGACUUUCCUGCUCCAGCAGAGGCGGCCGAGGCUUUCUCUACUCAUCUUUGUGUUUUUCCUGAAGAAUAACAUCUACUUCCCUGAUGAAAUAAUAAUCCAGUAGCACCUGUCCUAGCAGGACCUUUGAUCACAGGGACUCAGACAAGACCUGGGCCUGUCCUGUCUCCAGGAACAUGCAUCGCCAGCAGCAGUCCAAUCUGGCAGAAGUGAAAGUGCCAAUCCAGAACUUGAAAGCGAAACUCCCAAGAGGCCAUCUGACUUGCUAGUAUCUUCCAUCACCAAAUAGAUGAAGUUGGAGAUUGCAGUGAAUCAUAUGCCAGAGGGAGGCCGACAUAUGUUUGAGGAAGUAUGUAUCAGAAUGUCUGCCCCAGAAAAUUGCUGGAUUUUUCACCUGAGUAAUAUGUUAGAGCAGUAUAUGUUCAAAUGCCCAAAGGCAGGCAGCAACAUCACAAAUCCAAGUACACCAUCCAUUGACUAAAUCCAGUGAAGCAUUCUCAGCACAAUAAGGAAAAACUCCAAAGAGAGGGGGCUUCCUCUAAAAUCCUCCAAAUAUUUCACCUUGUGCCUGGACAUACCUUGUUAAACUCUGGGUUGUCGGAAGUCAUGACAUAUUUUUUCUGCUUUUCAAAUGUCAUUUGUUUAUAUUAAGAACAAAGAUCAGGGGCCUCCCUGGUGGUACAAGGAUUGAAGUCUCAGCACUAUGAAGCUAUCAGCAGCCACUGCAGCAUGAGUUUGAUCGCUGCCCAGGGAGCUAAUCCACAUGACACAGCAGACCUCUCCUGUCUCGCCUGGUACUCCCCUAGCAGUGUAUUUCAGUUGAUCUGCCUGUUCUGCUCCCCACUGUCUCUGGUGAAUGCUCUCACCUCCCCCACCCGCCACCCCUCUGGCCUGUACCCCAGCCCUUACAUGCAUAAAUCUUUAGGGAAAAAAAAAGAACAAAGAUCAAUGAUAUAUUGCCCACUUUGUUCAAAAACCUUUUGCCAUCUUUCAGUGAGCUUCAAAAUUCCUCGUUCAUAGAAGGAUCCAUCUUUACUAGUGAAAAACUGAACAAGGUGCUGAUUUACAGCCUCAUCUGAAUUGAAUAUUAUACCACGCAAGUUUUGAAGAGAGUGAAACAAGUGGAAGUGUGAAGGCGCAAGUUUAGGCGGGUAUGGUGGAUGCCGCAACACAUCCCAUCCAAGCUCCAGUAAUUUCUGAUGGGUGAUCAAACUUGUGUGUGGUCUCACAUUGUGAUGGAACACUACUCCUUUACCAUUAACAAGCUCUGGAAGUUUCUGGAUGAUGGAUUCAUUCAAGCCAUCCAAUUGCCGACACUACACAUUCGAAUUGAUUGUUUAUUUCCUUGGCAGGAACUCAAAAAAACAUGACACAUUUAAAAUCCCACCACACUGAGAGCAUAGUCUUCCUCUGACGAAUGACUGCUUUUGAUGUCAUUUGAGGUGAACUAUCAAGUUGGGACCAAGACUGUGCACCUCAUUAUACACAAUCCACUUCUCAUCACCAGUUUUCAGUUGCUUCAAAAAGGAUUGUUUUCUUCACGUUUAAUGAGCUACUGCAGCUGUUUAUAUGUGCCAUCAAAUGAACUUCUUUAAGUUCGUGAGGAACCCAAAAAUCAAGCCUGCAUCUAUAUCCCAGCUUUUCCAGGUGGUCGUGAACACUUGAAUGAUGGAUGUUCAAUGUUUCUGCAAUCUCUCAAUUCGAUCGAUGCCUUUAUUUUGUCGUCAUCAACCUCUCUGACCAAGGAGCGUUGUUGAGAUCAAAAUCACCAGCAUGGAAUCUCAUGAACCAUCGCUAGCACUGACGCUGUUGUAGAGCACUGUACCAGUAAACUUUUUUUUUAAAGAUUUAUUUAUUUAUUUAUACAAGAACCGGGGUACAGGUCAGAUGUGCAGGAGGGUGAGAGGAUUCACCAGAGACAGCGGGGAACAGAACAGGCAGACUGACAAAAAAUACACUGUUGAGGGGAGCAGCGGGCGUGACAGGAGAGGUCUGCCACGCCAUGUGGGACACUUGCCUGCCGGCUGGGAUGGAACCAGCGCUAUAGAGGCUGCGGACAGCUUUAUAGGCUGUACUCAACCGCCUGCACCACCAGGGGAGGCCCUGUACCCAUAAAUUUAUGCAACUUUUCACAAGCUUGAUGUGUGUUCUUCCCGUUAUGGAAGUAAAACAGUAAAACAUGGUGAAAAUGCAGAGUUUGGUCUUCCAUCAACUUGUUGUAAAAUCUCCAAAACUAACCAAAUCGCUCAAUUUAUUUUAGAAUGAAGCUAGAACUGCCAACUGUCAAGUGACUAGCAAUAACGUAGAUGUAAAUGACCCUAGUACUUCCGAACAUGCCAUCUGUUGCAAAAAUGCGUCAUGACUUUUCCAACAACCCAAUAAUUGCAGAGGCUCUUUGAUCCAGAUUAGUUUGGUUCUGCCUUUGCCUUCAAACUUUUUUCCAGCAGAUAUGCAGACACUAUCAAAUUGCAAUUUUGUCAUGGCUUCUUGGAUGUUGCAGUUAGUCUGAAUAAAAUAAAAAGCAAAUAUAUGAAGUGACAGUAUAAUUCAACUUUCACAUUAUAAUAAUACCUAGCAUUAACCUAGCUAUUCCUUUACAGAAAAUAAUCCUUAUGACACUCUAGUAUUACAUACUGUUUACAGCUGAAAAAUACUGAGGUUUAGAAAAAAUUACGUAGUUUCUUUAAAAAUCUCACAAAUAGUAAAUGGUAGGAGUUCUGGAUUUGAAUAUCUAGCUUUAGCUUCAUAUCUCUUAUACUUCUCAUUAUACCAUUGGAACAGCCCAUAUAUCAAUAUAUAGCUGUUGUGCUCUGCAGGAUUUUUAUGUCUAAGCUAGUUUCUGCUUCUAUUCCACUUCCACCUUCCCAGUCACCCUGCUUCUUCCAUAAGACACAGCCCUUGCCUGUCUGCUGGCCCCAACCCCAUGCCCACAUUACAUAAUGGAAGAGCAGAGGGGCCCUGCUGGCCCCCUUUUAACAUCACCCUGGAGCCUAGGCCCAUCCAGCCGCCCCUGUCACAGCCAUACCAAGCCCUAGCUACUGCUGAGCGAAUCUCACGUUUGGGGUCUCUGAAUUUCUCAUCUAUAAUUUUACUUAUUAGUCUAAUUCAGGCAUUUCUUCUUUUCACACUGAGCUUCUGUUUCCUCACUGACAUCUUUACAUCCGAUAUCCAUUUGGAUAGCCAUUACUAAAUAAAACAUACAAAAUUGUACUUUUCACCAUCUCACUCCCUAUCCAAAAAUCACCAGAAGACCCCUAUUACCAAUUCACAUAGAAAAUUCCCAAUGUUACUAUGAGGAAACCACUCAGUAUUUCCUUUGAUACUGUUAAGCAGCAUUGAGUUUGCUUGUAUUAAAGGCCAGGUUGUGAAACAGUAAAGCCUAGUUCUAAGGCAACCAGCUGUCAGUAGCAGUGAUGGAAAAAGGGAAGAUUAAAAAAAUCUUCUAAGAAACUUUUAUUAAAUAUGUUUAUUUGAAUAAAAUAUAGGAAAGUACAAAAAUCAUAAUAAAUGCCCACAAAGCAAAACUGCACACAUUUGUGCUACUACCGCUUAGAUUAAUAGAAGUGUAGGAAGAAGCAGUACCUGACCAGCAUAAUGCUGAUAACAAAACCAAAGACAGCACAAAAAAUGAAAACUGCAAGCCAAUUUCUCUGAUGAACAAAGUCAAGAAUCCUCAGCAAAAUAUUAGCAAACCGAAUUCAACAAUACAUUAAAAAAAUACACCAUGACCAAGUUGGAUUUAUUCCAGGGAUGCAGGGAUGUUUAUCAUACACAAAUUCAUCAAUGUGCUUCAGUAAAUCAACAAAUUGAAAAAUAAAAAUUAUAUGAUCAUGUCAAAAGUGCAGAAAAUGCAUGUGAUAAAAUUCAGCCUGCAUUUAUGAUAAAAACUCAAUAAAAUGGCACAGAAGGAACAUACGUAAAGAUAACAAAGGGCAUACACAACAUAGCCAUAGGUAACAUAUCUCAUUUGGGAAAAGUUGAGGGUUUUCCUCUAAAAUCAGGAAUAAGACGGAGAUGUUCAACUCACCGUUAUUUAACAUAAUUUCACACGUCCUGGUCAGAGCAAUUUGGCAAGAAAAAUAAAAGAUAUCCAGAUUGGAAAAGAAGUACAACUUGGCCCUAUAUACUGACUUAUAAACAGAUGAAAUGGUAUUAUACGUAGAAAUCUCUAAAAACUCCAACAGCAACAAACUGUUAGAAACAAUAAAGUUGCAGGCCAUAACAUACAAAAAUCUAUUGUGUUUAUGUACAACAUGAACUACCAGAAAGAGCAAUAAGGAAAACAAUACCAUUCACAAGUGCAGCAAAAAGUGUAAAAUUCAUAGGAAUAAAUUUAAGCAAGGAAGGAAAGGAAUUGUACACUGAAAAGUAUAAAACACUGUUGAAGGAAAUUAGAGAACACACAAAGAAAUGGAAAGACAUGCUGCACUCUUGAAUCAGAAGAAAUCAAUGUCAAAAUGGCCACUGUACUUAAAGUAAUAUAGAGAUUUAACUUAACGCCUACUAAGACCCUCUCGGCCUUCUUCCUCAGAAGCAUAUUUUUAAAAUCCUAAAAUUUCGGGCCUCCCCGGUGGCACAGCAGUUGAGCGCUGGGUUGCGAAGCUCCCCGCGGCCUCUGCGGCGCCGGUUC